UGGGUUGGGUGGGUGGGUCACGGAUGGGUUGGUUGGUGGUUGGUCGGAGCGUGGGUGGGCUGCAGUUGGCCAGGCGCUGGCCGCUGCCCGCUGGCGUUUGUGCCUCGCGCCUUCACCCCCCAGCCCCACAGAACGACACGACCGGAGAGAAAAACAAAAAACAGCUUUUUAUUAAUAAUUACAAAAAAAACGUUGGGGAGACCCCAGGGUGGAGGAACCCCCGGGGGGGGGGGCGUCGGGGGCCUCGCACGGGAGCAGCGUCACAGAGGCGGGCAGCGCAGGCACCGCUCCCCGUCCCCGCUGGCCUCUGAUGUCCCCAACCCCGUGGUCAUCAUCCCGCCACGUCCCCAGCCCCAGGGCCACCACCCCCCCCUCUGCACAAGUCUUUGUGGCCACCGACUCUCCGUGUCCCCGACCCUGGGGUCGCCACCUCUCUCUGCACAAGCCCCCGGACCAACAUUUUUUGAUGCUCUUCAACUUUACGGCCACCAACUCGCCGUGUCCCCAGCCCCACGGCCACCAUCCCUCCGCACACAAGCCCCGUGGCCACCAUCUUUUGACGUUACCCAGCCCCACGACCACCAUCUUUUGACGGUGGCCACCAUCCUUCCGUAUCCCCAACCCCACGGCCACCAUUCUUCCACGUUCCCCAGCCACGUGGCCAGCACCUUUCGGUGUUCUCCAACCCCCAUGGCCACCGUCCUUCCAUGUCCCCAACCCUGUGGCCACCAUUUUGAUAUGCUCCAACCCCAUUCCCCAACCCCGUGGCCACCAUCCUUCCACGUCCCCAACCCCACGGCCGCCAUUUUCGAUAUUCUCCAACCCCAUUCCCCAACCCCGUGGCCACCAUCCUUCCACGUCCCCGACCCCGUGGCCACCAUCCCUCCACGCACAAGCCCCAUGGCCGCCAUCUUUUGGUGUUCUCCAACCCCACGGCCACCAUUCUUCCACGUCCCCAACCCAUGGCCACCAUCCUUUUGUGUCCCCAACCCCGUGGCCACCAUCCUUCCACGCCCCCACCCCCACAACCACCAUCUUUUGACGCGCCCCCUUCCCCAGCCCCUGC
rnacentral:lncRNA from 1 species